rnacentral:rRNA from 1 species
GACGAACGCUGGCGGCGUGCUUAACACAUGCAAGUCGAACGGAAAGGCCUGCUUUCCCUUGUGGAUUGCGGGUACUCGAGUGGCGAACGGGUGAGUAACACGUGAGUGAUCUGCCCCCAAAUUGGGUAUAAGCCUGGGAAACUGGGUCUAAUUACCGAUAGGACUGCAGGGUGGUGCCUGUGGUGGAAAACGAUUUUCUAGUGGUUGGGGAUGAGCGCGCGGCCUAUCAGCUUGUUGGUGGGGUAAUGGCCUACCAAGGCGGCGACGGGUAGCCGGCCUGGGAGGGUGGACGGCCGCAUUGGGACUGAGACACGGCCCAGACGCCUACGGGAGGCAGCAGUGGGGAAUAUUGCACAAUGAGCGGAAGCCUGAGGCAGCGACGCCGCGUGGGGGAUGACGGGCUUCGGGUUGUAAACUCCUUUCGACCGCGAGGAAGCCACCUGGUUGGAAGGGUGGUGACGGUAGUGGUAGAAGAAGCACCGGCUAACUACGUG